rnacentral:lncRNA from 1 species
AUUUGAACCAGUGCAGAACUACAAAAUUUGAUGCAUCUUCAAAGGAGAGAAAUGAGAAUCAGUCGUAUUUGGAAAUUAAAAUCAUCAGAGAGAAGCAAUGUUCCCAAAGGAUAUUUAUGAAGUAACUAAGGGAGAAACAAAUAUAAGAAAAACAGAAAAGCAUGGGAAUAACUGGAGGUUAUCAGUGAAUCAGACAGAGCUCAUUAAACACCUACCAUUUGUUAGUCUCUGUACUCUGCACUAUUAUUAUCUCUGUUACUUCUAAAGAACACUUCUCAUGUAACAAAUAAGCAUAGUCAAUAAAAAUGAAUUCAUGCUUUGUAUGGGUCUGAAA